AUAAACGACUCUCGGCAACGGAUAUCUUGGCUCACGCAUCGAUGAAGAACGUAGCAAAAUGCGAUACUUGGUGUGAAUUGCAGAAUCCCGUGAACCAUCGAGUUUUUGAACGCAAGUUGCGCUCGAAGCCAUUCGGCCGAGGGCACGUCUGCCUGGGCGUCACG
rnacentral:rRNA from 1 species